UACGUAGGGGGCAAGCGUUGUCCGGAUUCAUUGGGCGUAAAGAGCUCGUAGGCGGCUUGGCAAGUCGGGUGUGAAAACUCCAGGCUCAACCUGGAGACGCCACCCGAUACUGCCAUGGCUUGAGUCCGGUAGGGGACCACGGAAUUCCUGGUGUAGCGGUGAAAUGCGCAGAUAUCAGGAGGAACACCGGUGGCGAAGGCGGUUCUCUGGGCCUGUACUGACGCUGAGGAGCGAAAGCGUGGGGAGCGAACAGG
rnacentral:rRNA from 1 species